rnacentral:rRNA from 1 species
UCUGGUUGAUCCUGCCUGAACUGAUGUGUUUAUUUCAAAGAUUAAGCCAUGCAUGUAUAAGUUUAAUCGUUUAUCGAGAAACCGCGAACGGCUCAUUACAAUGGCCAUUAUUUACUUGAUCUUGAUUGUCUAAAUGGAUAACUGUGGAAAAGCUAGAGCUAAUACAUGCACUAAAGCUUUGUCCUUACGGAAAAGCGCAUUUAUUAGAACAAAACCACGCGGCUUCGGCUGCUUCUUGUUGACUCAGAAUAACUUAGCUGACCGCAUGGCCUUGUGCCGGCGGCGUGUCUUUCAAGCGUCCACUUUAUCAACUUGACGGGAGCAUAAUCGACUCCCGUGGUGGUGACGGAUAACGGAGGAUCAGGGUUCGACUCCGGAGAAGGGGCCUGAGAAAUGGCCACUACGUCUAAGGAUGGCAGCAGGCGCGCAAAUUACCCACUCUCGGCUCGAGGAGGUAGUGACGAGAAAUAACGAGACUGUUCUCUUUGAGGCCGGUCAUCGGAAUGGGUACAAUUUAAACCCUUUAACGAGUAUCAAGCAGAGGGCAAGUCUGGUGCCAGCAGCCGCGGUAAUUCCAGCUCUGCAAAUACAUAGAAUUAUUGCUGCGGUUAGAAAGCUCAUAGUUGGAUUCGUAUCGAUACCUUGGAACCCUUCGGGUGUCUCUAGGUGUUAUCGAUUUAUCGUAAUGUUCGGUUUUGAGUCCUUAACAGGAUUCUUAACAGGCAUUGCAAGUUUACUUUGAACAAAUCAGAGUGCUUCAAACAGGCGUUUUCGCUUGAAUGAUCGUGCAUGGAAUAAUAGAAAAUGAUUUCGGUUCAGUUUUAUUGGUUUUACGGACUGAGAUAAUGGUUAACAGAGACAAACGGGGGCAUUUGUAUGGUCCCGUGAGAGGUGAAAUUCUUGGACCGUGGCCAGACAAACUACAGCGAAAGCAUUUGCCAAGAAUGUUUUUAUUAAUCAAGAACGAAAGUCAGAGGUUCGAAGGCGAUCAGAUACCGCCCUAGUUCUGACCGUAAACGAUGCCAACUAGCGAUCCGCCGAUGGAAAUUAUAUUGCCUUGGUGGGGAGCUUCCCGGAAACGAAAGUCUUCCGGUUCCGGGGAAGUAUGGUUGCAAAGCUGAAACUUAAAGGAAUUGACGGAAGGGCACCACCAGGAGUGGAGCCUGCGGCUUAAUUUGACUCAACACGGGGAAACUCACCCGGCCCGGACACUGUGAGGAUUGACAGAUUGAUAGCUUUUUCAUGAUUCAGUGGAUGGUGGUGCAUGGCCGUUCUUAGUUCGUGGAGUGAUUUGUCUGGUUUAUUCCGAUAACGAGCGAGACUCUAACCUACUAAAUAGUUGGUACAUACUCUUAGUGUAUACAGCUUCUUAGAGGGAUUUGCGGCGUUCAGCCGAAAGAAAUUGAGCAAUAACAGGUCUGUGAUGCCCUUAGAUGUCCGGGGCUGCACGCGCGCUACACUGGCAAAAUCAACGUGCUUGUCCUACCCUGAAAGGGGCGGGUAAACCAUUGAAAAUUUGCCGUGAUUGGGAUCGGAAAUUGCAAUUAUUUUCCGUGAACGAGGAAUUCCAAGUAAGUGCGAGUCAUCAGCUCGCGUUGAUUACGUCCCUGCCCUUUGUACACACCGCCCGUCGCUGCCCGGGACUGAGCCAUUUCGAGAAAUUUGGGGACCGUUGAUUUAAUUUUUCUAAAUUACUUUGAUGGAAACCAAUUUAAUCGCAGUGGCUUGAACCGGGCAAAAGUCGUAACAAGGUAGCUGUAGGUGAACCUGCUGCUG